GCUGGGAAGGGCCAUAGUUGAGUGGUAGAGCAUUUGCUUUUCAUACAGAAGGUCUCAAGUUCAAUCCUUGGCAGCU